rfam:Nematostella vectensis strain CH2 x CH6 NEMVEscaffold_161_Cont16368, whole genome shotgun sequence.
GGGGAUGUAGCUCAGUGGUAGAGCUUCCGCUUCGCAUGCGGAAAGCCCGGGGUUCCAUCCCCCCGCAUCUCCA